ACGUAGGGGGCAAGCGUUAUCCGGAUUUACUGGGUGUAAAGGGAGCGUAGACGGCACGGCAAGCCAGAUGUGAAAGCUCGGGGCUCAACCCCGGGACUGCAUUUGGAACUGCUGAGCUAGAGUGUCGGAGAGGCAAGUGGAAUUCCUAGUGUAGCGGUGAAAUGCGUAGAUAUUAGGAGGAACACCAGUGGCGAAGGCGGCUUGCUGGACGAUGACUGACGUUGAGGCUCGAAAGCGUGGGGAGCAAACAG
rnacentral:rRNA from 1 species